CUCCGUAGGGGGAACCUGCGGAGGGAUCAUUAUUGAGCUUCAGCUCUAUAACCCUUUGUGAACAUACCUAACCGUUGCUUCGGCGGGCAGGGGAAGCCUCUCGCGGGCCUCCCCUCCCGGCGCCGGCCCCACCACGGGGACGGGGCGCCCGCCGGAGGAAACCAAACUCUAUUUACACGACGUCUCUUCUGAGUGGCACAAGCAAAUAAUUAAAACUUUUAACAACGGAUCUCUUGGUUCUGGCAUCGAUGAAGAACGCAGCGAAAUGCGAUAAGUAAUGUGAAUUGCAGAAUUCAGUGAAUCAUCGAAUCUUUGAACGCACAUUGCGCUCGCCAGCAUUCUGGCGAGCAUGCCUGUUCGAGCGUCAUUUCAACCCUCAAGCACCGCUUGGUUUUGGGGCCCCACGGCACACGUGGGCCCUUAAAGGUAGUGGCGGACCCUCCCGGAGCCUCCUUUGCGUAGUAACUAACGUCUCGCACUGGGAUUCGGAGGGACUCUUGCCGUAAAACCCCCCAAUUUUUUACAGGUUGACCUCGGAUCAG
rnacentral:rRNA from 1 species